rnacentral:rRNA from 1 species
GGAUUAUUGGGCGUAAGCGCGCGCAGGUGGUUUCUUAAGUCUGAUGUGAAAGCCCACGGCUCAACCGUGGAGGGUCAUUGGAAACUGGGAGACUUGAGUGCAGAAGAGGAAAGUGGAAUUCCAUGUGUAGCGGUGAAAUGCGUAGAGAUAUGGAGGAACACCAGUGGCGAAGGCGACUUUCUGGUCUGUAACUGACACUGAGGCGCGAAAGCGUGGGGAGCAAACAGGAUUAGAUACCCUGGUAGUCCACGCCGUAAACGAUGAGUGCUAAGUGUUACAGGGUUUCCGCCCUUUAGUGCUGAAGU